GACGAACGCUGGCGGCGUGCUUAACACAUGCAAGUCGAACGCUGAAGCUCAGCUUGCUGGGUGGAUGAGUGGCGAACGGGUGAGUAACACGUGAGUAACCUGCCCUCUUCUUUGGGAUAACGCCCGGAAACGGGUGCUAUUACUGGAUAUUCACUGAUUCUCGCAUGGGGGUUGGUGGAAAGGUUUUUUCUGGUGGGGGAUGGGCUCGCGGCCUCUCAGCUUGUUGGUGGGGUGAUGGCCUACCAAGGCUUUGACGGGUAGCCGGCGUGAGAGGGUGACCGGUGACAUUGGGACUGGGAUACGGCCCAGACUCCUACGGGAGGCAGCAGUGGGGAAUAGUGCACGAUGGGCGAAAGCCUGAAGCAGCGACGCCGCGUGAGGGAUGGAGGACUGCGGGUUGCAAUCCUCUGUCGCGAAUGGUCAAGCCGCAGUUUUGGGUUGUGGUGAGGGUAGUGGGUAAAGAAGCGCCGGCUAACUACGUG
rnacentral:rRNA from 1 species